rnacentral:rRNA from 1 species
AAACGACUCUCGGCAACGGAUAUCUCGGCUCUUGCAUCGAUGAAGAACGUAGCGAAAUGCGAUACGUGGUGUGAAUUGCAGAAUCCCGUGAACCAUCGAGUUUUUGAACGCAAGUUGCGCCCAAAGCCUUUUCGGUUGAGGGCACGUCUGCCUGGGUGUCACGCA